AUUUAUUUUUUAUAAAAAAUAAAUAUCUUAUAAUAAUUAUAAUUAAGAAUUGUACUUAUUAUUAAUUAAUUGAAUUUCAAAUUCUUAGUAUAGAAAUAAGUAUCUAUAUAUCUAAGUGAGUAUAUAGAAUAAGUCCAAGGAAUGUAGAACUAAAUAAAUGGACUUAUUCAUCUUUCUACAUGAAAGAUAUGUAUGAUAAUUCACUUUAUUAUUUUUCUUCAUUUCUUUGUCUUUUGUUCUUGUCUUCGAAUUUUUAAUAAAGAAAGAGUUUCUUACAGAUUAUCGAAAGAUUCGUUAGAAUGCGACCCAACAGGAAUUUUUAGUGAAAAUGGGAUUUUCGGGAGAUAGAGAAAGAUAAAAAACUAUAUAUCUAUCUUUUCUCUAUUUGAUUAUAUACAUAAGACAUAAGACGAAAUUCAUUUUAUUUGCCUAAUUUCACGAAAGGAAGAAUUCACUCUUUUAUCUUGUUGAUAGAGACUUCUUAAUUAGUAAUCGGGAUUCUAGGUAAAAAAAAGAGUUAUCCGCAACUUUUUAUUCUUUCUACAAUUAGAUCUUAGGUCAUCAAAGAAAACUCCAUUCUUAUUUACUUUGAUUCUUAUAAACUAACUACUUGUUUGCUACAAAUAAACUAAUUGAAUUUUGUGUGCUCU
rnacentral:lncRNA from 1 species